UACAGAGGUCCCAAGCGUUGUUCGGAUUCACUGGGCGUAAAGGGUGCGCAGGCGGUUGGUGUGUCAGAUGUGAAAUCCCGAGGCUAACCUCGGAACUGCGUCUGAAACUACUCGACUAGAGUACUGGAGAGGGUAACGGGAAUUCACGGUGUAGCAGUGAAAUGCGUAGAUAUCGUGAGGAACACCAGAGGCGAAGGCGGUUACCUGGACAGUUACUGACGCUCAGGCACGAAAGCAUGGGGAGCAAAAG
rnacentral:rRNA from 1 species